CAGCUAACCGCUUUAUCCAAGAAGGAACUUUACUUCCAUCUUUGUAACAACCCUAUCCUCGUCAACAAUGGUAUCAUGGUAAGGAUGAUUCUGCUUUAUCUGUGUUAUAGAACUGGUGUCGGAAUUUUGUGUGGGUCUGGUUAAAAAAAAAUUAUGAUAGCGUCCCUGCAAUUAUUUGAGGGAUAAAUGUUAUUUUACAAGGGAAAAAAAGAAUAUAUAAAGAUUACAAGAAAUUAAAUCAAGAUUAAAAUUCAUUACAUUAGUGAGAUCUCUCUCAUCAAGAUUCAUCAUGGUAAUCGCAAAACACAGUAGCCUCAAAAUUACUCCGAUCAACCUCGUUGUAUGCAUCAAAAGACACCAACAAUCGAAGAGAGAGGGAAAAAAAAGCUCAAAAAUAAACUCAAAUUCUACGAUGCCAGCAGAGUCAACUUAAGAUGAAUAGAGAUCUUGAACUAAAUUAUAAAUGAAAUAUUUAAAAAUAUUUUUUUAUCUAUAUCUGACAAGUGAAUCCUUGAGUAAUCAUCAUUUUGUAUUUGAAGUCUUUUAUUAAGUAAGGGCAAUCUUUAUUUUAUAAUAAUUAAUAAAUAUAUCUUAUUUAUUCUUAAAAAAAUUUAUCAAGUAAAGAUCUUAAAUUAUUGUCCAAAUUGAUCGUUUGCCCUAACCGGCUCCGGAUGAAAGAACCUAAAGAUCUAGAAAUAAGAAAAACUAGUGAAAAAAGCAAUGGAAGGAACACAAAAGAGCUGGUCAUUUUGUUGUGUUGAACAACCCCCAUCCAAUCCUUAUUUAUACAAGAGUAUUGGGAUUAAAAUUGAUGCAUGAAUUAGUUUUGUUAAUUAACCCAAUCAAUUCAUGUCUCUUCAUUUACCGUCAUUAUUCCAAAAUAUUUUUUCAGUUUUAGUUCAUGUAAUCAUAAAAAAUAAUUUUUUGGACUAAAAAAUCAUUUUAUAGCUAGCCCAGUUCCAAAUUGGUGGGCACAUGCGAUUUACAGUCUACGUAGUGUAGAGCCUUUAUCCUCUGCAAUUGAACUUUUUAAAUUGAAUUAAUUUUUCAUUAAUCUAUAAUUGAUUUUAGACAUGUUAAACUUCUAUAUUAAGGUAUUUAUGUUGAAGAAAGUUUUUCAACAAAAUCUCAAUCCCAAAUGUGAAUAAACCUGCAUUUAAUUUGACCUUCAACCAUGUUUUAAACCAAUUUUCAAGAUAGAAAAUACAUCCUAAAAAGUUUUUUCUUGAUGUUUAGCAUAUCUUUGAAAGUAUAAUUUUUAUUUGUGUUUGUGGUAUUGCAAAUGAGUUCCCCCACCCAAGAAAAACAUGAUGAUCAUAGGAGGUUUAGCUAGUCAUGUAUCAGUGGAGUAUUGGUUUUUUCUUUUGCUCCUGUUCUACUAUGAUGAUCUUAGACGUUCCUUUGUUUUUUUAAAAAAACUUAAAACAGAGCUUUGCACUAGAGAAGCAUGGUGGGAAAAAAUGCUACAUGAUUGGAGCAAGAGGACUUUCAAUUACCUGGGGAGAUACACCUGACUAUUGGACAUGGAAACCCUUACCAGAUCAGUCUAGGUUUGUUCUCUCUCUCUCUCUCUCUCUCUCAUUUUACUGAUGUAUUUACCAGAUGAUGUUUUGCACAUAGCUAGUCAAGAACUAAAUGAGGUUCUUAGAUAUAUAGACAGACCUGUGAAGUUUAUGAUGGGGAAAGAUUUUCUUCUUCAGUAGUAUGGUUGCUGUUGUUGAACAUGAUGGAGGAUCAAUGCCUUCACCUUUAUAACCAAAAACAAAUACGAGUGAUGCUGACUUCUUAUAAAAAAAUGUAGAUUGCAAGCUAUGUAUAGAUCAUUCUAGAAGGAUGAUCUAUAUGUUUUCCGAAGCAGUGCAGGCCAUUCUAGAAGGAUGCAAGCGCUGGGUGCUCUUUACUAGCCACCGCCAUUAUUGUCACUGUCCUUGAUCUGCUUUUCUUGAUCCCUAACCCCUACGCUUAUUUGCCAACUUUAUUGUGUAUUUGUGUCCCAGUCGUUACAAAAGGUUAUAAUUGCCUAAUGCCUACUAGAUUAACCAAACUUCAGCCUGAGCUCCUUGUUUUCUCCCCGAACUUCAUAUAUAGGAAAUUUCCUCCAAUGAAAUUGCUGGGCUAUUAUGUUGGCCGACUCCUGUAGUCGGUACAUGUGAUUAUGUUGACCAAAUAACUUUUUUGGCAGAGAAGGAAAGCAUUUUUCUUCUCUUUCAGAACUUAAAAAGUUCAUGAAUGAUAACAAAGAAAAGUAAUCAAAUGUUGCUGAUAGUUUUCUGCGUUAAUUAAUGUGCGC
rnacentral:lncRNA from 1 species